UGUGAGUGCGCCCUUAUUCACGCUGUAUUGAGGGACUCAAAGGUGUUUGGUCCGCAGCAUGAUUUCCUAAUACACAGAGAGAGGACAAAGUUCAGUAGUUCUAUUGAAACUCCAGACAGUUCUUAGGCACUAUUUACUUUGACAAAUCUCGACCAUCGCCGCAGAUAUAUCAGGCCAAUGGAAUAACACAGAGGAACAACGCAAAUGAACAACUUCAAGGACUCCGUCACGUGACCACGAACCCAUCGGAACUCUCUUCCUCAAGCUUGCUUAUGCGCACAUACAUCUGCCUCACAUAAGCCAAUGCAAGUAUCAUUUAUUAAUUCGAUGACGCAUUAGUUAUUACCAUUGUGUCUAUAUGCGUAGUUAGGGGUUGUGCACACCAAAACUUUUAAACCCGGAUGAAAACGCCUGGAGGACGCUGAAUAGGGGUGGGCGAUAAACCGGUAGACAAAAUUAACCGGUAGAAAUUUGUUAACCGGUAGAGAUUUUGGACUAUCGUUUCUAUCGAGGUUACGUGCCCACGUCACGCUCCUGUGCGUGUGGUCACGAAAACGUAACGUUUGUACACGUAUUUAAGCACUGCAGUUUUAAAACAAGUUAUUUUAAGCCAUUGAAACACAGACAACAGAUCUGUAUGCGUGCGUUCUUUCUGUGUGUCAGGAGCGGACAAGUCGCGCAACCGCUGCUCUUUCUGUCUGUGAGGAGCGCGCAAGUCGCGCGACCUCUGCUUAUUAAGCUCGUGAGCAUUUUUCCCGCUUUAUUGGCCUUAAAUACACAUAUGCGUCAAAAUUCCCGUCUUUGCAAGCAUCAUCAUAAACACGACCAGUAAGGUCUUAAGAGAAAGUAAACAGCUAAAAGAGAAAGCGCAUGUGUAACGCAUGUAUUGGAUCCGGACUUUGGUCUUAAAGGGGAAGUUACCUAAUUUUGCUCCUGUCUGUCACUCGUGUUAAUCAAACAGGAUUGAGAAAAAAAUCUCUCACUGCUCCUGAUUAAAUCACUUUUCUACCUUAAAUAAAAAUAUAUAUAGGCCUAUACAUACAUGCAUAAUUAUUUAUUAUCAUUCUUAUUGACUGUGUAUCUUCA